rnacentral:rRNA from 1 species
UGGGCUUAAGGGCGCGUAGGCGGGCCGCAAAGUCAGGGGUGAAAUCCUCCAGCUCAACUGGAGAACUGCCUUUGAUACUGGCGGCCUGGAGUAAGGUAGGGGCAUGCGGAACUGAUGGUGGAGCGGUGAAAUGUGUUGAUAUCAUCAGGAACUCCGGUGGCGAAAGCGGCGUGCUGGACCUUUACUGACGCUGAGGCGCGAAAGCCAGGGGAGCAAACGGGAUUAGAUACCCCGGUAGUCCUGGCCCUAAACGAUGGGUACUAGGUAGUAGGCUUGACAUGGGUUUACUGCCGGAGCAAAAGUGCUAAGUACCCCGCCUGGGGAGUAUGGUCGCAAGGCUGAAACUCAAAGAAAUUGACGGGGGCUCACACAAGCGGUGGAGCAUGUGGCUUAAUUCGAGGCUACGCGAAGAACCUUAUCCUGGACUUGACAUGUGCGAAAGCGCUGGGAGGUAGGACCCGGAAACGGGAACGAACGGUAUCCAAUCCGGAACCCAGUACAGGCGCUGCAUGGCUGUCGUCAGCUCGUGUCGUGAGAUGUCGGGUUAAGUCCCAUAACGAGCGAAACCCCUGCCCUUAGUUGCUAGGCGCAAGCCGAGGACUCUAGGGGGACUGCCGGUGUCAAACCGG